rnacentral:lncRNA from 1 species
GUUGGGACUCACAAUAGAGAGAUUGUAUCAUGCAUUAACUGUACCUAGAGGUUCAUCUUUUAUUUUGCUAGAUUGCCAGUACAUACUGCUGGGUGUCACUGGUGGAUUGUGAGACUCACAAGGAUCAUCUUGAUGAUCAAUGAUCCUUGGUGGGCAGAGUUGGAAUUGUUUCAAUCUAUUGAAAAAUAUUUCAAUGAUAUUAUAAUAGAGAUCACAA